rnacentral:rRNA from 1 species
UGGUCCCAGCCCCUUAACGGGGUGCAGCAGGCGCGAAACCUUUACAAUGCACGCAAGUGUGAUAAGGGGGAUUCCAAGUGCUCAAGCACUGCUUGGGCUUUUGCCAUGUGUAAAUAGCAUGGCGAAUAAGUGGUGGGAAAGACUGGUGCCAGCCGCCGCGGUAACACCAGCGCCACGAGUGGCAAUCGCGUUUAUUGGGCCUAAAGCGUCCGUAGCAGGUUUUACACAUCUCUUGUGAAAUUGCCAGGCUUAACUUGGCAGUGUGCAGGAGGCACGGUAAGACUAGAGACCGGGAUGGGUCGGAGGUAUUCCUGAGGGAGCGGUAAAAUGCUAUAAUCUCAGGAGGACCACCGGUGGCGAAGGCGUCCGACUAGAACGGAUCUGACUGUGAGGGACGAAAGCUAGGGGAGCAAACCGGAUUAGAUACCCGAGUAGUCCUAGCUGUAAACGCUGUGAGUCUAGGUGUCGUCGUAUUCUACGGGAAUGCGCGGUGUCGUAAGGAAGCUACUAAGCUCACCGCCUGGGGAAGUUACGGUUGCAAGAUGUAAACUUUAAGGAAUUGGCGGGGGCGCACCACAAAGGGGUUGCGGCGUGCGGUUUAAUCUAACUCACACAGAGAACCUUACUAGGGGCGACGGCAGGAAUGAAAAGUCAUGUCUGAAGACAUUACUCAACGAGCCGAGAGGUGGUGCAUGGCCGUCGUCAGUCUCCGUGUCUAUGAAGUGUCCAGUUAAGUCUGGCAACGAGUCGAGACCUGUAUCUGCAAUUGCUCACGGCACUACGGUGGACCGAGCACAUUGCAGGGACUGCCUUGGAAACAAGGAGGAAGGUGCAGGUCUACGGUAGGUCUUGUAUGCCCCGAAUCCCCUAGGCUACACGUCGUCGCAACAAUGGUAGGGACAAUGGGAUGCAACUCCGAAAGGAGAAGUCUAAACCUCUAAACCCUAUCCCAGUCCAGAUUGAGGGUUGCAACUCACCCUCAUGACGUCGGAAUCCCUAGUAAUCAGGUUUCAUCAAAGCCUGGUGUAAUAUGUCCCUGUCGCCUGCACACACCGUCCCGUCAAACCAACCGUAGUCAGGGUUUAGGUAAAACAAAGCCUAUUAGUUUUGUUGAA